rfam:Acidocella aminolytica 101 = DSM 11237 DNA, contig: Aam_060.
GGGAGAUCGGCGGCGGACAUCGCGGCCCGCCAACUUGGUCAGGGCCGGAAGGCAGCAGCCACAACGGAUUUCGCAUGGGUCGUUGUCCGGUCUCCCACC